rnacentral:rRNA from 1 species
GACGAACGCUGGCGGCGUGCUUAACACAUGCAAGUCGAACGGAAAGGCCCUGCUUUUGUGGGGUGCUCGAGUGGCGAACGGGUGAGUAACACGUGAGUAACCUGCCCUUGACUUUGGGAUAACUUCAGGAAACUGGGGCUAAUACCGGAUAGGAGCUCCUGCUGCAUGGUGGGGGUUGGAAAGUUUCGGCGGUUGGGGAUGGACUCGCGGCUUAUCAGCUUGUUGGUGGGGUAGUGGCUUACCAAGGCUUUGACGGGUAGCCGGCCUGAGAGGGUGACCGGCCACAUUGGGACUGAGAUACGGCCCAGACUCCUACGGGAGGCAGCAGUGGGGAAUAUUGCACAAUGGCGGAAGCCUGAUGCAGCAACGCCGCGUGCGGGAUGACGGCCUUCGGGUUGUAAACCGCUUUCGCCUGUGACGAAGCGUGAGUGACGGUAAUGGGUAAAGAAGCACCGGCUAACUACGUG